GAUGAACGCUGACAGAAUGCUUAACACAUGCAAGUCAACUUGAACUUCGGUUUGGGUGGCGGACGGGUGAGUAACGCGUAAAGAACUUGCCUCACAGAUAGGGACAACAUUUGGAAACGAAUGCUAAUACCUGAUAUUAUGAUUAUAUGGCGUCGUAUAAUUAUGAAAGCUAUAUGCGCUGUGAGAGAGCUUUGCGUCCCAUUAGCUAGUUGGAGAGGUAACGGCUCACCAAGGCGAUGAUGGGUAGCCGGCCUGAGAGGGUGAUCGGCCACAAGGGGACUGAGACACGGCCCUUACUCCUACGGGAGGCAGCAGUGGGGAAUAUUGGACAAUGGACCAAGAGUCUGAUCCAGCAAUUCUGUGUGCACGAUGAAGUUUUUCGGAAUGUAAAGUGCUUUCAGUUGGGAAGAAAAAAAUGACGGUACCAACAGAAGAAGUGACGGCUAAAUACGUG
rnacentral:rRNA from 1 species